rnacentral:rRNA from 1 species
CAGCAGCCGCGGUAAUACGGAAGGUCCAGGCGUUAUCCGGAUUUAUUGGGUUUAAAGGGAGCGUAGGCUGGAGAUUAAGUGUGUUGUGAAAUGUAGACGCUCAACGUCUGAAUUGCAGCGCAUACUGGUUUCCUUGAGUACGCACAACGUUGGCGGAAUUCGUCGUGUAGCGGUGAAAUGCUUAGAUAUGACGAAGAACUCCGAUUGCGAAGGCAGCUGACGGGAGCGCAACUGACGCUUAAGCUCGAAGGUGCGGGUAUCAAACAGGAUUAGAUACCCUGGUAGUCCGCACAGUAAACGAUGGAUGCCCGCUGUUGGUACCUGGUAUCAGCGGCUAAGCGAAAGCAUUAAGCAUCCCACCUGGGGAGUACGCCGGCAACGGUGAAACUCAAAGGAAUUGACGGGGGCCCGCACAAGCGGAGGAACAUGUGGUUUAAUUCGAUGAUACGCGAGGAACCUUACCCGGGCUUGAA